CUAUUAAAAAACUGUAAAAAGACAGCUCAAAACAAUUCUGUGCCUUUCGACGUCAUAACUUGUAGGAAAACGUGUUUCGUGGCUGGAAAAUAAACGCUUAAACAUUGCUAGCGGCAUCUUAGAAAAUUCGCUUAAUUGGUUAUUGAAUUUUCAACCCCGACGAAGAGAAAAAAAUCAAGAUUCCCUUAACUACAAGCUAACGAUAGUGGGAACGAAGUUGAGUUGGUAAAUUGAAUUGAAAUGAGUGAAUUUCAACCGCAACAAGGACAGAGUAUCAGUCAAUCCCAGGCGUUGGCUCAGGCGAUACAGCGUGCCAAGCAGAUAGCGGCUAAGAUCCAACCCAGCCAGCAGGCAGGCGGUCCAGGAGGACCUGGAGCAGGACCAUCACCACCUUCUGGUGGCGGCGGGCCGGGACCCGGUGCGGGCAACAACUUCAAGAGGCACAACGACGACGGUGAUAGCGGACCAGACUGCAAGCGCUCUUUUGGCAGUCCGGACUACGGCCACAACAACAACUCCAACAUGAGCAGUAGCAGCGGUGGCGGUGGAGGUGGCGGAGGGGGAUCAGGUCCGGGCGGUGCAAACAUUACGCAAGCCAUUGCCCAGGCAGCUGCAGUGGCUGCUCGCCUGGCGGCAUCGGCCGGAACAACGUGCGAGGAGCAAAUCCGCAUACCCGAAUCCAUAGCGAAUGCCUUUAUGGGACGUGGCAGCAACGACACCAUCACUCAUAUCCAGGCCGAGUCGGGGGCUAAGGUACAGUUGAUGCCGGAACAGGAGCGAGUCAUUACAUUGCGUGGCCAACGGGACACCGUGUCCAAGGGGCGAGAUAUGAUCCAGCAGAUGGCCAGCCGCGGUGGUGGCGGAACCGUGGAGGUACUACUAACCAUCAACAUGCCGCCUCCGGGACCCAGUGGCUAUUCGCCCUACCAAGAAAUCAUGAUACCCGGAGCCAAGGUGGGCCUGGUCAUUGGCAAGGGUGGCGACACCAUAAAACAGCUGCAGGAGAAGACGGGAGCCAAGAUGAUUAUCAUCCAAGACGGACCCAAUCAGGAGGUUAUCAAACCUCUGCGCAUUUCCGGCGAUCCGCAGAAGAUCGAGCAUGCUAAGCAGAUGGUCUUGGAUCUCAUCGCCCAGAAAGACGCACUGGCUCAGCAGCAGGGUGGACGCGGGGGCGGUAGUGGAGGAGGAGGCGGUGGUGGCGGAGGCGGUGGCCCUGGCCUCGGCUACAACAACUUCAACAAUGGCAAUGGCGGCGAGAGCGUAGAGGUCUUUGUGCCAAAAAUCGCCGUCGGCGUUGUCAUUGGCAAGGGGGGAGACAUGAUCCGAAAGAUUCAAACCGAAUGCGGCUGCAAGCUGCAGUUCAUCCAGGGCAAGAACGAUGAGAUGGGCGAUAGACGCUGUGUGAUCCAGGGCACACGCCAACAAGUCGAGGACGCCAAGCGGACCAUCGAUGGACUGAUCGAGAACGUGAUGCAACGAAAUGGCCUGAACCGCAAUGGGAAUGGCGGCGGCUCCCAAAGUGGCGGCGAAGGAAACUCCAACUACGGCUAUGGCUAUGGCGUAAACCAUGCCCAGGGCGGACGUGAGGAGAUCACAUUCAUGGUGCCAGCAUCCAAAUGCGGUAUUGUAAUUGGACGUGGCGGAGAGACGAUUAAGCUGAUCAAUCAGCAAUCCGGCGCCCAUACCGAAAUGGAUCGCAAUGCCAGCAAUCCGCCCAACGAGAAGCUGUUCAAGUCCAAGGGCACCACCGACCAGGUGGAGGCGGCCCGUCAAAUGAUUUCUGAGAAGAUCAACAUGGAGCUCACUGUUAUUGCCCGCAAGCCCAUUGGUGGUGGUGGCGGUGGAGGCGGCGGUGGCGGUGGUAAUGGCUCUGGAGGUGGACCCAGCAAUUCCCAUCACAGUCAGCAGCAGGGCGGCUAUGGUGGACCCAAUCCAAUGCAAGGCGGCGAUCCGAAUGCCGCCGCUGCAGCAGCGUACCAGCAGCAGCAACAGCCCUGGGGUCCCUAUGGCCAACAGGGAUGGGAUCCGUCUGCGGCCCAGCAACAGCAGCAAAUGGCAAUGGCCGGUGGAAAUCAGGGCGGUGGACCUGGUGGCUCGGGUGCGAACGCUGGGCAGGACUACUCGGCCCAGUGGAUCGAGUACUACAAGCAAAUGGGCUGCCAUCGCGAGGCUGAAUUGAUCGAGCAACAGAUGAAGGCCAAGCAAGGGGGCGGAGCACCUGGUCCCGGUCAGCAGGUGCCGCAGCAGCCACAACAGCAACAGCAAGUGCCGCAGCAGGCACAGCAGCAGCAGGCAUCCGGCGGCAACAGCGCUGACUAUAGCGCCCAGUGGGCGGAAUACUACCGCAGUGUGGGCAAGCACGAGGAGGCAGAGGCGAUUGAGAAGACGUUGAAGAAUAAGCAAUCACAGAACGGUGGACCUGCUGUUGGCCAAAGCAAUGCGCAAAACCCCAACCAAGGCGGCCCCAAUCCCGGCCAGCAGCAGCAGCCCAAUCCAGCGGCGGCAGCAGCGGCCGCUGCUGCAGCAGCCGGUGGCUAUGCACAAGGUAUGACUCCUAGCCAAUAUGCACAAUAUUCACAGUAUUACGCUGCUGCGGCUGCGGGUCAGCCCCAAGCACCACCGCAGCCCGGCGGUGGUCCGCCCGCUGGUUAUCCCGGUGGAUAUCCGGGUGGUGGCUAUGGCGGCUACCCGGGUGCGCCGGGACAACAGCAGCAACAGAAGCCGCACAAAAAUGACAAGCAUUGAUGUGGCGAGAAGAUCGAAGUAGGAGUCGGAGUCGGAGUAGAGAUGGUAGCUGUAGCUGGAGUGGAAAUUACUCCACUUAACGGAUGUGGCAGGUGCCUUGAAUUGGUGAUCUAUUGUUCCACUAUGUCCUAUGUCUUUUAUCCCCCACAAGCUAGCAAAAAAUAAAAGCAAAACAUAAGAUUAAAAGUUUUUAACCGCAACAACAGCAAUACGAAGAAUCACAGAGAAGGGAUGAGACGAGAAGUGCACAGAAGGGAAGGGAAGCGAAGUCAGAGAGAACGAGAGGAUCCAUCAGUCAAACAAGUCAAAUCAUUCUAGCUUGUGGCGUCGCACUUUUGCAUAAUUGUAAAUUAAUAUAUUAACACUAUGAUUUCUCCAUUAGUACAUAAGUAAGCCCCCCUGAAAGCCGAACUCUACUUUUAUAUUUGUAUUUAUAUUUAUCUAUAAACCUAACUGAAAAGAAAAGAAAUUGCCUCUGCUGUCCACGUUCAAUAGCACAGAGCCAUUCAAACACACAGUAGACUCAAACCAAAUCAAGCCAAGCCAAUCCAAUCCGUUUUUGGUGACAUAUAGUACAUCUAUCUGCAUAUGUAUAUCUGAAUAUAAUUUCUUUCCUCGUCAAGCGAAAUGAAUGAGCGAACGGCAGUGGAGAGUGGAGAGUGCUGAGCGUUUUUUACACUUGAAAGACAACAUUUUUGAGAGUUCUCAAAUUGCAAUAACUGAAAUAUAUAGAAUUAUAUUAAUAUACAUCCAUAUACUUACAUACAUAUAUAUUACCUAUAUAUCGAAUGUAGCCCAUAAAUGAUGACCGUUUUUGAUAUAUGAACAUAUUUCUCUCGUACUUAGCUUAGUGUUAUUACAAAAACCGAUUCAAGCAAUACACGAAGUUCGAUAUCUGGUGAUCUGGUAAGACUUUGCAACUUGUUAAACGUACUCUUCAUAAGAUUCUGAAAGUCCAGGGCCUUGUCUGAAAUUUUUGUUAAGUGGAGUGCAGUGGAGUGGAGUGGAGUGGAUAUUGAAACCAACCCGAAUUGUUUUGAUUUGAUGAUAAUAAUUAAACACAUGCUCGUUCAAUAUAUAACUUUCACCUUUCAGUUUGUGGAGAAGAUAUACCUUACUUAAUAGCCUUACGAUCAACCCAAGAUUCAAUAUAAUUAGACUUGAUUUCGUACUGUACUCUAUUUUCUGUACUAUAUAUAGGACUAUAUCGUAUCUUAACUGGUGAAACUAUUUUCAAUAUAUAUUUUCUUUAAAACAAAAACUCAUUUCCCAAGGUACAAGGAAUAGAAUAAUAUCACGCCACAUUUCCACCAUAUAUUUCAAUAUCUACAUAUAUUACCAUAUGCCACCCUAUAUUAUACAUACAUAUGCCAACAUAUAUGUACUUUCAGAGGGGCCAUUCGUCAAGCCAGUUCAUAACAGAAAUCCGAAAGCAAAACUCCAGAACAGAACUCCUUCACACUCUCUAAUUGAACAUGAACAGAUACGAAAUAUUAAAUUGUAAAAGUGUCAAGCUUGGUAAGAUCGUGUGUUCUUGUUACUGUCUAUAUAAAACAUAUUGAUAUACAAACGUACAUAUAUGAAAAUCUAACAAUGAUAUGAUAAAACUUACCCAUAUGAAAAGUUGGUCUACCAUAAUAUUUAAAUAUUAAUUUGAAUAAUCUAAACUAAGUUUUACGUCUCACCAAUACAUCUGAAUGUUGCAACAGCAGAUGAACAACAACAAUUUGUAAACGCUGGCCGGCAGGGCAGGCUCAGAGCUCAAUGCGGAUCUGAUCUGCCCGCAGCCGUCGAGACAUUGAAUAAACAUUUAAUAUAAUACCAUAUAUAAUAUAUAUCCCACAUAUA